rnacentral:rRNA from 1 species
GAUGAACGCUGGCGGCGUGCCUAACACAUGCAAGUCGAACGAAGCGCUUAAGACGGAUCCUUUGGGAGAAGAUUUAAGUGACUGAGUGGCGGACGGGUGAGUAACGCGUGGGCAACCUGCCCUGUACAGGGGGAUAACAGUUGGAAACGGCUGCUAAUACCGCAUAAGCACACAGUGGGACAUCCCACAGUGUGAAAAACUCCGGUGGUACAGGAUGGGCCCGCGCCUGAUUAGCUAGUUGGCAGGGUAACGGCCUACCAAGGCAACGAUCCAUAGCCGGCCUGAGAGGGUGAACGGCCACAUUGGGACUGAGAUACGGCCCAG